GAUUAACGCUGGCGGCAUGCCUAAUACAUGCAAAUCGAACGAAGCCUUUUGGAUUAGUGGCGAACGGGUGAGUAAUACGUGAGUAACCUGCCCUUGUCUUUGGGAUAAGCCUGGGAAACUGGGUCUAAUACCGGAUAUUCUGCUUUUGCCGCAUGGUGGGGUUGGAAAGAUUUUUUGGAUGGGGAUGGGCUCACGGCCUAUCAGCUUGUUGGUGGGUGAUGGCCUACCAAGGCGUCGACGGGUAGCCGGCCUGAGAGGGUGACCGGCCACAUUGGGACUGAGAUACGGCCCAG
rnacentral:rRNA from 1 species